rnacentral:rRNA from 1 species
CAAGUCGAGCGGCAGCGCGGGGCAACCUGGCGGCGAGCGGCGAACGGGUGAGUAAUGCAUCGGAACAUGUCCAUUCGUGGGGGAUAGCCCGGCGAAAGCCGGAUUAAUACCGCAUACGCCCGAGAGGGGAAAGUGGGGGACCGCAAGGCCUCACGCGAUUGGGUUGGCCGAUGUCCGAUUAGCUAGUUGGUGGGGUAAAGGCCUACCAAGGCGAUGAUCGGUAGCUGGUCUGAGAGGAUGAUCAGCCACACUGGGACUGAGACACGGCCCAGACUCCUACGGGAGGCAGCAGUAGGGAAUUUUGGACAAUGGGGGCAACCCUGAUCCAGCCAUUCCGCGUGAGUGAAGAAGGCCUUCGGGUUGUAAAGCUCUUUUGUCCGGAACGAAACGGGUGCGGCUAAUACUCGCGCCUACUGACGGUACCGGAAGAAUAAGCACCGGCUAACUACGUGCCAGCAGCCGCGGUAAUACGUAGGGUGCGAGCGUUAAUCGGAAUUACUGGGCGUAAAGCGUGCGCAGGCGGUUUUGUAAGCCAGAUGUGAAAUCCCCGGGCUUAACCUGGGAAUGGCAUUUGGGACUGCAAGGCUGGAGUGCGGCAGAGGAGACUGGAAUUCCUGGUGUAGCAGUGAAAUGCGUAGAUAUCAGGAGGAAUACCGAUGGCGAAGGCAGGUCUCUGGGCUGACACUGACGCUCAUGCACGAAAGCGUGGGGAGCAAACAGGAUUAGAUACCCUGGUAGUCCACGCCCUAAACGAUGUCGACUGGUUGUUGGGGGGUUUGACACUCUCAGUAACGAAGCUAACGCGUGAAGUCGACCGCCUGGGGGAGUACGGCCGCAAGGUUAAAACUCAAAGGAAUUGACGGGGACCCCCACAAGCGGUGGAUUAUGUGGAUUAAUUCGAUGCACCGCGAAAAACCUUACCUACCCUUGACAUGUCC